AUGGAGUGGAUAUCCUGGAUAAUGGCGUGUGUUAAGUCGGUGAAAUACUCGGUGAAGUUUAAUGGGAAGAUACUGGAGUCUUUUGUCCCCUCUAGGGGUUUGCGGCAAGGUGAUCCACUUUCCGCCUUCUUGUUCCUAUUUGUUGCUGAUGAUCUGUCCUCUCUUAUUUCAAAGUCAGUGAACAAUGGGGAGUUGAGGGGGAUCUCAAUAUGCCGUGGUGCACCGGUGAUUUCUCAUUUGCUGUCUGCGGAUGAUACCAUGCUACUCUUUGAAGUGUCAACCCAGCAAGCAAGCGUUGUCAAAGGUUUAUUGAACGCAUACACCUCAGCGACGGGUCAACUUAUUAACCCUAGGAAGUGUUCCAUCCUUUUCUCGGAAAAUUGCAUGCAGUCGGUGGCGGACGACGUGAAACAUAUACUGGAUGUUACUCAGCAGGUUUUUGAGCCUAAAUACUUGGGCUUACCGGUCCUGGAAGGAAGAAUGCACAAAGGACAAUUUGAGACUCUUCAAGAGAGAUUAUGA
rnacentral:rRNA from 1 species